rnacentral:rRNA from 1 species
UGGGGAAUAUUGCACAAUGGGCGCAAGCCUGAUGCAGCCAUGCCGCGUGUGUGAAGAAGGCCUUCGGGUUGUAAAGCACUUUCAGCGGGGAGGAAGGCGAUAAGGUUAAUAACCUUGUCGAUUGACGUUACCCGCAGAAGAAGCACCGGCUAACUCCGUGCCAGCAGCCGCGGUAAUACGGAGGGUGCAAGCGUUAAUCGGAAUUACUGGGCGUAAAGCGCACGCAGGCGGUCUGUCAAGUCGGAUGUGAAAUCCCCGGGCUUAACCCGGGAAUUGCAUCUGAUACUGGUAAGCUAGAGUCUUGUAGAGGGGGGUAGAAUUCCAUGUGUAGCGGUGAAAUGCGUAGAGAUGUGGAGGAAUACCGGUGGCGAAGGCGGCCCCCUGGACAAAGACUGACGCUCAGGUGCGAAAGCGUGGGGAGCAAACAGG